rnacentral:lncRNA from 1 species
UAUAAUUCUUCGAGUUGGAGGUAGAGGCUACUAAUUCGUAAAAAUAAUGGGAUGACCUUUAGAUUAAAGUUCAUAUCUUCAAGAUUAAAAAUAAUUCAUAUACUGAUAGUUAUAUUUUUUCUUUCAGUUAUGACCAACACACUAUCCCUCCGUACAUUGUUGGACAGUGACAAGCUCAUCGGAUCCAACUUCGAUAGCUGGUAUCGAAAGUUGAAGAUCGUCUUAGAUUACAAAAGGAUUUUAUAUGUC